AGUGAACGCUGGCGGUAGGCCUAACACAUGCAAGUCGAACGGCAGCACAGUAAGAGCUUGCUCUUACGGGUGGCGAGUGGCGGACGGGUGAGGAAUACAUCGGAAUCUACUUUUUCGUGGGGGAUAACGUAGGGAAACUUACGCUAAUACCGCAUACGACCUACGGGUGAAAGCAGGGGAUCUUCGGACCUUGCGCGAUUGAAUGAGCCGAUGUCGGAUUAGCUAGUUGGCGGGGUAAAGGCCCACCAAGGCGACGAUACGUAGCUGGUCUGAGAGGAUGAUCAGCCACACUGGAACUGAGACACGGUCCAUACUCCUACGGGAGGCAGCAGUGGGGAAUAUUGGACAAUGGGCGCAAGCAUGAUCCAGCCAUACCGCGUGGGUGAAGAAGGCCUUCGGGUUGUAAAGCCCUUUUGUUGGGAAAGAAAAGCAGCAGGUUAAUACCCCGCUGUUCUGACGGUACCCAAAGAAUAAGCACCGGCUAACUUCGUG
rnacentral:rRNA from 1 species